rnacentral:tRNA from 1 species
GUUUCCGUGGUGUAGUGAUUAUCGCGUGCGCCUCACGCACGCAAGGUCCCUGGUUCGAUCCCGGGUGGAAACA